rnacentral:rRNA from 1 species
GACGAACGCUGGCGGCGUGCUUAACACAUGCAAGUCGAACGGAAAGGCCCUGCUUUUGUGGGGUGCUCGAGUGGCGAGCGGGUGAGUAACACGUGAGUAACCUGCCCUUGACUUUGGGAUAACUUCAGGAAACUGGGGCUAAUACCGGAUAGGAGCUCCUGCUGCAUGGUGGGGGUUGGAAAGUUUCGGCGGUUGGGGAUGGACUCGCGGCUUAUCAGCUUGUUGGUGGGGUAGUGGCUUACCAAGGCUUUGACGGGUAGCCGGCCUGAGAGGGUGAACGGCCACAUUGGGACUGAGAUACGGCCCAGACUCCUACGGGAGGCAGGAGUGGGGAAUAUUGCACAAUGGGCGGAAGCCUGAUGCAGCAACGCCGCGUGCGGGAUGACGGCCUUCGGGUUGUAAACCGCUUUCGCCUGUGACGAAGCGUGAGUGACGGUAAUGGGUAAAGAAGCACCGGCUAACUACGUG